UACGGAGGGUGCGAGCGUUAAUCGGAAUUACUGGGCGUAAAGCGUGCGUAGGCGGCUUGUUAAGUUGGAUGUGAAAGCCCCGGGCUCAACCUGGGAACUGCACCCAAAACUGGCAAGCUAGAGUGCGGAAGAGGAGUGUGGAAUUUCCUGUGUAGCGGUGAAAUGCGUAGAUAUAGGAAGGAACACCAGUGGCGAAGGCGACACUCUGGUCUGACACUGACGCUGAGGUACGAAAGCGUGGGGAGCAAACAGG
rnacentral:rRNA from 1 species